rnacentral:rRNA from 1 species
UGAAAUAGAACCUGAAACCCUGCACUUACAAGCUGUGGAAGCACAUUUCUUGUGUGACCGCGUACUUUUUGUAGAACGGGCCAACGAGUUACGUUAAGUAGCAAGGUUAAGCACUUAAGGUGCGGAGCCGUAGCGAAAGCGAGUUUUAACUGAGCGUUCAGUUACUUGACGUAGACCCGAAACCGGGCGACCUACCCAUGAGCAGGAUGAAGCGAAAGUAAAAUUUCGUGGAGGUCCGAACCCACGAGCGUUGAAAAGCUCGGGGAUGACUUGUGGGUAGCGGUGAAAUUCCAAUCGAGCCCGGAGAUAGCUGGUUCUCCCCGAAAUAGCUUUAGGGCUAGCCUCAAGGUGAGAGAUACGGAGGUAGAGCACUGAAUGUCCUAGGGGGUAUUGCACCUACCGAAGACUAUCAAACUCCGAAUGCCGUCAUCUUAUACUUGGGAGUCAGACUGUGGGUGAUAAGAUUCAUAGUCGAAAGGGCAACAGCCCAGAUCGUCAGCUAAGGUCCCUAAAUGUAAGUUAAGUGGUAAAGGAUGUGGGAUUGCACAGACAACCAGGAUGUUGGCUUAGAAGCAGCCACUCAUUCAAAGAGUGCGUAAUAGCUCACUGGUCGAGUGAUCCUGCGCCGAAGAUUUCCGGGGCUAAAACUUACUACCGAAGCUACGGCAUCAGUAAUGAUGGGUAGGGGAGCUUCCCAUACGGGUUGAAGCAUGACCGUAAGGACAUGUGGACAGUAUGGGAGUGAGAAUGUUGGCAUGAGUAGCGAGAUGUGGGUGAGAAUCCCACAGGCCGUAAACCCAAGGUUUCCAGGGGAAGGUUCGUCCGCCCUGGGUUAGUCGGGACCUAAGCUGAGGCCGAAAGGCGUAGGUGAUGGACAACAGGUUGAUAUUCCUGUACUACCGAUAACCGUUUGAGAGAAGGGAUGACACAGUAGGAUAAGCUAAGCACACUGUUGGUUAUGUGUGCCCAAGCAUUGAGGCAGUCAAAGUAGGCAAAUCCGCUUUGAUAAUGCUGGGAUGUGAUGGGGAGCGAAAUUUAGUAGCGAAGUAGCUGAUUUCACACUGUCAAGAAAAGUCUCUAUCGAGGUUAAAGGUACCCGUACCGCAAACCGACACAGGUGGGUGAGGAGAGUAUCCUAAGGCCAGCGAGAGAACUGUUGUUAAGGAACUCGGCAAAAUGACCCCGUAACUUAGGGAUAAGGGGUGCCACCAUUAGGUGGCCGCAGAGAAUAGGCCCAAGCGACUGUUUACCAAAAACAUAGGUUUCUGCUAAGUCGCAAGACGAUGUAUAGGAGCUGACGCCUGCCCGGUGCUGGAAGGUUAAGGGGAUCUGUUAGAGUAAUCGAAGCAGUGAACUUAAGCCCCAGUAAACGGCGGCCGUAACUAUAACGGUCCUAAGGUAGCGAAAUUCCUUGUCGGGUAAGUUCCGACCCGCACGAAAGGCGUAACGAUUUGGGCACUGUCUCAACAACAGACUCGGUGAAAUUGUAAUUCCGGUGAAGAUGCCGGAUACCUGCGACAGGACGGAAAGACCCCAUGGAGCUUUACUGUAGCUUGACAUUGGGUCUUGGUACUACAUGUACAGGAUAGGUGGGAGGCUUUGAAACCAGGACGCCAGUUUUGGCGGAGCCAUCCUUGGGAUACCACCCUUGUAGUACUGGGACUCUAACCAUAGGCCAUGAAUCUGGUCUUGGGACACUGUCAGGUGGGCAGUUUGACUGGGGCGGUCGCCUCCCAAAAGGUAACGGAGGCGCUCAAAGGUUCUCUCAGUACGGUCGGAAAUCGUACGUAGAGUGUAAAGGCAAAAGAGAGCUUGAUUGCAAGACAUACAGGUCGAGCAAGGAUGAAAAUCGGACUUAGUGAUCCGGUGGUUCUGCGUGGAAGGGCCAUCGCUCAACGGAUAAAAGCUACCCUGGGGAUAACAGGCUUAUCUCCCCCAAGAGUCCACAUCGACGGGGAGGUUUGGCACCUCGAUGUCGGCUCAUCACAUCCUGGGGCUGUAGUAGGUCCCAAGGGUUGGGCUGUUCGCCCAUUAAAGUGGUACGCGAGCUGGGUUCAGAACGUCGUGAGACAGUUCGGUCCCUAUCCGUCGCAGGCGUAGGAAAUUUGAGAAGACCUGUCCUUAGUACGAGAGGACCGGGAUGGACG